rnacentral:lncRNA from 1 species
ACUUUGGCUCGAGACAAUUAAGGACGUGGGAUGAGGCUCCGAGACAGGACGCGGUUCUGCCUGGGGAUCCUGAAGAUAAAAAGCUUUGAAAAGUCGAAUUCAUGGUCGUGGAAGCUGAGCCCAUAUUAAGAGAUGUCAGGCGUCCGACCUCCGAUCAUGAACGGGCCCCUGCACCCGCGGCCCCUGGUGGCAUUGCUGGAUGGCCGGGACUGCACAGUGGAGAUGCCCAUCCUGAAGGACGUGGCCACUGUGGCCUUCUGCGACGCGCAGUCCACGCAGGAGAUCCAUGAGAAGGAGACCCACAGGCUCCUCCGUGAUGAGAACUAGGUUGGUCUGGCUUCUACUUGUAGCCAGGGAUCAGUGAUUCAGAGCAGCUUUUCCCUGAAGACAGACGAAGAAGCUGGGCCCCCAGGAGCUCACAGGAUAGGGCCAGGCCCAGGCUGCAGCCUGGAGAGGCCUAUAACCUGCAGGAACGGGCGGGCCUUGCCAACUCUGGCCUGGGGUGUUGGCUGUUCUGGAAGAAGUAGCUGAGAGGCUGAAUUUGGCUUUGGUGGCAUCACUGGCCUGCUGGGUGUGGGGCCCUGCCGGGAUAUCCAUGGCCUGAAAGGUGACAUCUGGAGUGAGGGUGACCUGGACUCUGACGCGCCACACGAUCGGCACCCAGCCUGCUGAUGUCCAGGAAACCUUGAAUCUGGAUUUUUGGGGACCCCGCACUGCCGGCCCCAGGUGCCUGGCAAAAGAAGUAAGACGGCCCCUUUAGAGGAAGACAGCGUCAGCCGAGGCCUCGGGUCAUUUCUACAAAUCACCAUCUGGUGCGGGGUCCAUCACAUGCAAACAGAGGUAACCAGGCAGUCAAGG